AGUUGACAUAAAUAUUUUAGUGUGUGUUUAAAUGUCGUCAACCUAACCUAACCUGUCCCUGUCCAAAAGAGGAUAUAAUGCAGAGGUGUAGGAUACCUAUAAUGACAAUAUAAUGUCGAAAGGUUUCUGUCAUCACAGACUGUUUACAGUGCGAAAAGAGAUAGCGUAGUGUCAAAGUGCAAUGUAUAUUGCCAACACAUUACGUCCUUAUUCAACAGCAGAAACCCAACAGGUCGGACAAAAAAUUGUUUCGCGUAAACUCAUCCGCCUACAAAACGGCCCGAGCGUGCCUGUCGAAAUAUACGGUACUGAGUUGGGCAGUUUCGUUUGUUGAAAAGACAAGGAUGAGUGCAGAACUCAAAUGAUAAUGGAUCUAAAAAUAUCGAUAUUAUCGACAUUUUUAGUUCCACUUAGUAGAUGGCGCAGGACCGUCGGAGUUCGGCCGUCACUCCAGCAUC